rnacentral:sRNA from 1 species
CCGCAACAGUAAUAUUUUUGAAUCAUCUGAACUUCAAAAUAUCAUUAUUAUUCAACAUCAUGUCUAUCUAUAAUAUAAAGAUCAUCUAUAUACUCAGUAGAAGCAGUAGAAUCUGCAGCAGAUUGAGAUUCAUUAGAUUUAUUACAUUGUGGUUAAUUUGCAGCAGUUCUAGUGAGCUUGUGUAAUGAGUGUACUUCAAUUAACGAUUUAGCACUAUCCUAAAUACAGAUUAUGAAUUGAUUAAGAAAAGAAAGAGAAAAGAGAUCAGAAGAAAAGAUUGUAUAAAAAGAGUUCUUAUAGAGAGAAGAUUGAAACAGAAGAAUAUCAGAAGCCAUUCCACAGUGAAACAUAAAGCAGAGUACAGAGCAGAAGAAUAUUGAGAGUUAUGCAGAAGAAUUGUUAGAACUAUAUAAGUGUGAAGUAUGAAGUAGAAAAGAUUAUGUGGAAGAAUUGUUAGAGGCUACAUGAGUGUGGAGUGCAAUAACAGAGAUGAGU